rnacentral:rRNA from 1 species
UUCCGGUUGAUCCUGCCGGAGGUCACCGCUAUUGGAAUACGAUUAAGGCAUGCGAGUCGAGAGUCUUAGGGACUCGGCAGACGGCUCAGUAACACGUAGAUAAUCUGCCCUUAGGUAGGGGAUAACCUCGAGAAAUUGAGAAUAAUACCCUAUAGGUCUAAGAUGCUGGAAUGUUUUUAGAUUGAAAGCUCCGGCGCCUAAGGAUGAGUCUGCGGCCUAUCAGGUUGUAGUGAGUGUAACGGACUCACUAGCCGACGACGGGUACGGGCCCUGAGAGGGGAAGCCCGGAGAUGGACUCUGAGACACGAGUCCAGGCCCCAAGGGGCGCAGCAGCUACGAAAACUUCACAAUGUGGGAAACCGCGAUGAGGGAAUUCCAAGUGCUGCAGUUUAACUGUAGCUGUUUACUUGCCUAAAAAGCAAGUAGAGUAAGGGCUGGGUAAGACUGGUGCCAGCCGCCGCGGUAAUACCAGCAGCCCUAGUGGUGAUCGUUUUUAUUGGGCCUAAAGCGUCCGUAGCCGGUUUGGUAAACCCUUGGGUAAAUCGAGCAGCUUAACUGUUCGAAUUCUGAGGAGACUGCCAGACUUGGGACCGGGAGAAGUUGGAAGUACUUUUGGGGUAGGGGUGAAAUCCUGUAAUCCCAAAAGGACUACCGGUGGCGAAGGCGUCCAACUAGAACGGGUUCGACGGUAAGGGACGAAGCCCUGGGUCACGAACCGGAUUAGAUACCCGGGUAGUCCAGGGUGUAAACGCUGCAGGCUUGGUGUUGGGGGUCCUACGUGGGCGUCCAGUGCCGAAGAGAAGUUGUUAAGCCUGCCGCCUGGGGAGUACGGUCGCAAGAUUGAAACUUAAAGGAAUUGGCGGGGGAGCACAGCAACGGGUGGAGCGUGCGGUUUAUUGGAUCACGCGGU